GAUGAACGCUAGCGACAGGCUUAACACAUGCAAGUCGAGGGGCAUCAUGAGAGUAGCUUGCUACUUUUGAUGGCGACCGGCGAAUGGGUGAGUAACGCGUAUCCAACCUGCCGCAGACCCGGGAAUAGCCCUUGGAAAUGAGGAUUAAGUCCCGAUAUGCACAUUAGCCGCAUGGUUUAUGUGUGAAACCAGGUAUGCGAUGGGGAUGCGUCCGAUUAGCUUGCCGGCGGGGUAACGGCCCACCAAGCCUGCGAUCAGUAGGGGUUCUGAGAGGAAGGUCCCCCACAUUGGAACUGAGACACGGUCCAAACUCC
rnacentral:rRNA from 1 species